AUUGAACGCUGGCGGCAGGCUUAACACAUGCAAGUCGAGCGAGCGGCGGACGGGUGAGUAAUGUCUGGGAAACUGCCUGAUGGAGGGGGAUAACUACUGGAAACGGUAGCUAAUACCGCAUACCAUCAGAUGUGCCCAGAUGGGAUUAGCUAGUUGGUGGGGUAAUGGCUCACCAAGGCGACGAUCCCUAGCUGGUUUGAGAGGAUGACCAGCCACACUGGAACUGAGACACGGCCCAGACUCCUACGGGAGGCAGGAGUGGGGAAUAUUGGACAAUGGGGGAAAGCCGGAUGCAGCCAUCCCGCGUGUGUGAAGAAGGCCUUCGGGUUGUAAAGCACUUUUAGCGAGGAGGCGGUACUCGCAGAAGAAGCACCGGCUAACUCCGUGCCAGCAGCCGCGGUAAUAC
rnacentral:rRNA from 1 species